CCCCCUUCGGGGGGUACACGAGUGGGGCACGGGUGAGUAACGCGUGGGUAAUCUACCUCCGGGUCUGGGACAACUCCGGGAAACUGGAGCUAAUACCGGAUAAGACCACGGAGUCUUCGGACUCUGCGGACAAAGGUGGCCUCUCCUUGGAAGCUAUCGCCUGUUGAUGUGCCCGCGUCCCAUUAGCUUGUUGGUGAGGUAACGGCUCACCAAGGCCGCGAUGGGUAGCUGGUCUGAGAGGAUGAUCAGCCACACUGGAACUGAGACACGGUCCAGACUCCUACGGGAGGCAGCAGUCGGGAAUUUUGCGCAAUGGGCGGAAGCCUGACGCAGCAACGCCGCGUGAGGGAUGAAGGCCUUCGGGUCGUAAACCUCUGUCGGGAGGGAAGAAAGGCUACCGGUCAAAUAGGCCGGUGACUUGACGGUACCUCCAAAGGAAGCGCCGGCUAACUCCGUGCCAGCAGCCGCGGUAAUACGGAGGGCGCAAGCGUUGUUCGGAAUCAUUGGGCGUAAAGCGCGUGUAGGCGGCUUGGUAAGUCGGAUGUGAAAGCCCGGGGCUCAACCCCGGAACUGCAUUCGAAACUGCCUCGCUAGAGUCCCGGAGAGGAGGGCGGAAUUCCCGGUGUAGAGGUGAAAUUCGUAGAUAUCGGGAGGAACACCAGCGGCGAAGGCGGCCCUCUGGACGGUGACUGACGCUGAGACGCGAAAGCGUGGGGAGCAAACAGGAUUAGAUACCCU
rnacentral:rRNA from 1 species